GUGGCAGCCACAGCAGCCUCAGGGACCUCAGCAACUAUGGCCUCCUGCCCAGACUCUGAUAAUAGCUGGGUGCUUGCUGGCUCCGAGAGCCUGCCAGUGGAGACACUGGGCCCGGCAUCCAGGAUGGACCCAGAAUCUGAGAGAGCCCUGCAGGCCCCUCACAGCCCCUCCAAGACAGAUGGGAAAGAAUUAGCUGGGACCAUGGAUGGAGAAGGUACUGGGCCCUGCUUAGGACAUAGCUUACCGGACAAAGCUAUUCUCCAUAUUUUGGGGUUUCUCAGUUUCCUCAGAGAAAGGGAGGCUGGUUCGUUUUAGUUCCUCCAUUAAUCUCAGUUGACAAACUCCUUUUCUCAUUCCAUCCUGGCUUUUUCCUGCCUCUUCCAACCUGGUAGGGGCCCGUGGGAUGGACAGAGGGCUGCAAAGGAAAUUCAGCUGGGGCAGUGGGUUUUUCUGCGCCUUUUCUCCUACCGCAGGGACGCUCUUCCAGACUGAAAGCCCUCAGUCUGGCAGCAUUCUAACAGAGGAGACUGAGGUCAAGGGCACCCUGGAAGGUGAUGUUUGUGGUGUGGAGCCUCCUGGCCCAGGAGACACAGUAGUCCAGGGAGACCUGCAGGAGACCACCGUGGUGACAGGCCUGGGACCAGACACACAGGACCUGGAAGGCCAGAGCCCUCCACAGAGCCUGCCUUCAACCCCCAAAGCAGGUG
rnacentral:lncRNA from 1 species